ACUGUCUAAUGAGGGUCUAGCCACACCAAUUAGCUUCAAAUCUCCCUAGCAUAAUUAUGUUUCUACCUGCGCAAGCAAACAAGCCACAUCUUUAUUACAGCCACCUGUUUGUCUGCCCAACUGUGACCACCAUAAACAAGUUUCUCAGAACUGAGCUCACUAUAAUUCACAUGCACGUACAUGCAGCAUGUACGUGCAUGUAUGAUCACGGUGGAACCUCCGACGAGGAGUGGUGAUACGAAUAGUCCUCGGGGGAACCAAUACAUCUAACAAGUCAACUGUGUUAGCCUGUGUAUAUUUCAUUAUGAUCAUUAUGAGUCAAGCUAAAGCACUCAGACAAAGAUUUACCAAGAAAUCGUGUCACAUUGGUAUGAAGAAGCUCAUCUCGAUUAUAGAAGCAUCUAAAUAGGCAAAUAGUUAUGAUGUGGACAUGAUCGUAAAGAGGUUAGAAAUUGAAGGACACCUCACCAACUAAACUAUUGUUAAUUGCUGCCACUUUCUAAGACAUCUCUGUUACUUUAUUUUAGUUUUGCGUUCUAUACAUUUUAGCUGGAUUCCUAUAAUUAUUACUAUUAUUUA